rnacentral:rRNA from 1 species
AUUAACAAAAAAAAUAAUAAAUGUGCUGUCACGAAAGGAAGUGAGCUAAACAUAUAUCAACUUAUAACAUACGUAGCAUAGUAUGUAUAAAAUAUUUAUUUAGGAGUGAUAGGCUAUUCAAACGUUCUUAUAACUUGUUUCAUAUGAAAAGUAUUAAGUACCUAAACAAAUUUAAAAAGUUAAGCUUUUAAAUAAUUAUUAAGAUUAGUAUUUUCAUAUAGUGUAGUGUAAUAGCUGACUGUAUUAAAAUUUAAUAUUAAGUAUAAUAACUUAUAUUUUAUACUAUGACAAUAAAAAUUUUACAAUUAUUUGAUAAUGUUAUUAUUAGUAAUAUAAACAUAUAUGUUAAAGGAACUCGGCAAAUAUAUCGCUCAACUGUUUAUCAAAAACAUAGCUAUAUGAAUUAAUAUAUAGUUAUUUCUGCUCAAUGUUUUUAAAUAGCCGCAGUACUCUGACUGUGCAAAGGUAGCAUAAUCAGUUGGCUUUUAAUUAGAGUCUGGUAUGAAUGAAAAUAUGGGUGGUAACUGUCUUAGCAUAUUAUUUGAACUUAUUAAACAAGUGCAAAUGCUUGUAGUUAAACAAUAGACGAGAAGACCCUAGAAACUUGAGCUAGUUUUUGUUGGGGCGACAGAAUUACACUUAACUAAUUUUAUAAUACAUGACACAAGGUGGAAAGAAUAAGUUACUCUAGGGAUAACAGCAUAAUUUUAUUAGUUUGUGACCUCGAUGUUGGACUAGGUACUAUACCCUUAAGGCAAGGAUAUAUCAUGCUCUGUUCGAGCAAAUUAACCUACAUGAUCUGAGUUCAGACCGG